UCGAGAAUCUUCCGCAAUGGGCGAAAGCCUGACGGAGCGACACCGCGUGCAGGACGAAGGCCCUCGGGUUGUAAACUGCUGUCACGCUCUAGGAAUGCCAUGUCGUUAAUAGCGGCAUGGUUGACCAAGGCGAAAGGAAGUGGCGGCUAACUCUGUGCCAGCAGCCGCGGUAAGACAGAGGCCACGAACGUUGUUCGGAAUCACUGGGCAUAAAGCGCACGUAGGCGGCUAGGUCCGUCCAAUGUGAAAGCCCCCGGCUCAACCGGGGAAUUGCAUCGGAUACAGCCUGGCUUGAGGACGGUUGGGGUGAGUGGAACUCCUGGUGGAGCGGUGAAAUGCGUAGAUAUCAGGAGGAACACCGGUGGCGAAAGCGGCUCACUGGACCGUAACUGACGCUGAGGUGCGAAAGCUAGGGGAGCAAACGGGAUUAGAUACCCUAGUAGUCCCUGAGCGGGCUGGCAAGGCGCAU
rnacentral:rRNA from 1 species